UCUGAAGCUACGGAGCAGGAAUGAUUUCUAUGCUCCGCCAUUCGGAGAUACACGAGAUUCCCAAGGAAACAUGAGCUUGUUUGUUCACUGUGCCACAAUGGAACCACAUUUUUAUGUAAAGUC